rnacentral:RNase_P_RNA from 1 species
UGAGUAAGCCAGAUGAUCGCGGAUACAGCCUGAAAAGGCGUAGAUGAGGAAAGUCCGGGCUCCGCAGGGCAAGGGUGCCGGGUAACUCCCGGUGAAGGUGACUUCAAGGAAAGUGCAACAGAGAUAUACCGCCUUACUGGCGAUUUAAGCUGAAAAAAGGUUUUUCUUUCAGCUUAAAUCGCCAGUAAGGUAAGGAUGGAAAGGCGAGGUAAGAGCUCACCAGCGGCUUGGCGACUUGCCGGCUAUGUAAACCCCACCUGGAGCAACGCCGUGGAGGGACGCAAUGACUGCCCGUCAGUCCCGUGGAGGCGGCUUGAGCCAUACAGAAAUGUAAGGCCUAGAUAGAUGAUCGUCUAAUACAGAACCCGGCUUACAGACUUACUCAUUAA